rnacentral:rRNA from 1 species
AACACAUGCAAGUCGAACGAAGUAGCAAUACUUAGUGGCAGACGGGUGAGUAACAUGUAGGUAUCUGCCCUUUGGCCUGGAAUAACACGAGGAAACUUGUGCUAAUACCGGAUAAGUCUUUACGGAGAAAGCUUUAUGCACCAUUGGAUGAGCCUGCACUUGAUUAGUUUGUUGGUGGGGUAAUGGCCUACCAAGACUGUGAUCAAUAGCUGAUUUGAGAGGAUGAUCAGCCACAUUGGGACUGAGACACGGCCCAAACUCCUACGGGAGGCAGCAGUGGGGAAUCUUGCACAAUGGAGGAAACUCUGAUGCAGCGAUGCCGCGUGAGUGAAGAAGGCCCUUGGGUUGUAAAGCUCUUUCGUCGGGGAAGAAAAUGACUGUACCCGAAUAAGAAGGUCCGGCUAACUUCGUGCCAGCAGCCGCGGUAAUACGAAGGGACCUAGCGUAGUUCGGAAUUACUGGGCUUAAAGAGUUCGUAGGUGGUUGAAAAAGUUGGUGGUGAAAUCCCAGAGCUUAACUCUGGAACUGCCAUCAAAACUUUUCAGCUAGAGUAUGAUAGAGGAAAGCAGAAUUUCUAGUGUAGAGGUGAAAUUCGUAGAUAUUAGAAAGAAUACCAAUUGCGAAGGCAGCUUUCUGGAUCAUUACUGACACUGAGGAACGAAAGCAUGGGUAGCGAAGAGGAUUAGAUACCCUCGUAGUCCAUGCCGUAAACGAUGUGUGUUAGACGUUGGAAAUUUAUUUUCAGUGUCGCAGCGAAAGCGAUAAACACACCGCCUGGGGAGUAC